GGGCCUAUAGCUCAGCUGGAUAGAGCAUACGCCUUCUAAGCGUACGGUCAGAGGUUCGAAUCCUCUAAGGCGCG
rnacentral:tRNA from 1 species